rnacentral:misc_RNA from 1 species
GAUGAAGAACGUAGCGAAAUGCGAUAAGUAAUGUGAAUUGCAGAAUUCAGUGAAUCAUCGAAUCUUUGAACGCACCUUGCGCUCCUUGGUAUUCCGAGGAGCAUGCCUGUUUGAGAGUCAUGAAAUUCUCAACCUUUCUGGCUUUUGCUAGUCAGGCUUGGAUUAUGGGAGCUGCUGGCUUUUGAAGUCGGCUCUUCUAAAAUGUAUUAGCAAGAUCAUUGCUGCUCAUCAUUGGUAUGAUAAUUAUCUAUAUCAUUGAGAGUCAGUUUCCUUUAUUGGAAGAUUUUGCUCCUAACGGUCUUUAGCAAGACAACAUUUGACGAUUUUGACCUCAAAUCAGGUAGGACUACCCGCUGAACUUAAGCAUAUCAAUAAGCGGAGGA